rnacentral:rRNA from 1 species
AGAGUUUGAUUCUGGCUCAGAACGAACGCUGGCGGCGUGGAUAAGACAUGCAAGUCGAACGGAAAUCACCGGGUAGCAAUAUUCGGGGGUUUUAGUGGCGAAAGGGUGCGUAACACGUAGCUAUCUACCUUCAAGUGGGGGAUAACGCCGAGAAAUCGGUGCUAAUACCGCAUGUGAACGAAAGUUUAAGACUGGGGAUCGUAAGACCUGGUGCUUGAAGAUGAGGCUGCGGCCUAUCAGCUAGUUGGCGGGGUAAAAGCCCACCAAGGCUAAGACGGGUAGCUGGUCUGAGAGGACGACCAGCCACACUGGAACUGAGACACGGUCCAGACACCUACGGGUGGCAGCAGUCGAGGAUUUUUCUCAAUGGGGGAAACCCUGAAGGAGCGACGCCGCGUGAGGGAUGAAGGUCUUCGGAUUGUAAACCUCUGUCAUCUGGGAACAAUGCGCUCCACCUAACACGUGGAUCGUUGAUAGUACCGGAAGAGGAAGCAGUGGCUAACUCUGUGCCAGCAGCCGCGGUAAUACAGAGACUGCAAGCGUUGUUCGGAUUCAUUGGGCGUAAAGGGUGCGCAGGCGGUGUGCUAAGUCAGAUGUGAAAUCUCACAGCCUAACUGUGAUAGGUCAUUUGAAACUGGCAUGCUAGAGGACUGGAGAGGAGACUGGAAUAGUCGGUGUAGCGGUGAAAUGCGUAGAGAUCGACUAGAACACCGGUGGCGAAGGCGGGUCUCUGGACAGUUCCUGACGCUCAUGCACGAAAGCCAGGGGAGCAAACGGGAUUAGAUACCCCGGUAGUCCUGGCCCUAAACGGUGUUCACUUGGUGUGCGGGGAGUCGACCCCCUGCGUGCCGAAGCUAACGCGAUAAGUGAACCGCCUGGGAAGUACGGUCGCAAGAUUAAAACUCAAAGAAAUUGACGGGGGCCCGCACAAGCGGUGGAGCAUGUGGCUUAAUUCGAUGCUACGCGAAGAACCUUACCUGGCCUUGACAUCUAUCGUGAAAGGUGGUGAAAGCCAUCGACGGCCCGAAAGGGUGCUGGGGAUAGACAGGUGCUGCAUGGUUGUCGUCAGCUCGUGUCGUGAGAUGUUGGCUUAAGUGCCGCAACGAGCGCAACCCCUGUGUUUAGUUACCUGCGCAAGCAGGGUCUCUAAACAGACUGCCUCGCUUUAAACGAGGAGGAAGGUGGGGAUGACGUCAAAUCAGUAUGGCCCUUACGGCCAGGGCUGCACACGUGCUACAAUGCGCGGAACAGAGGGACGCAAGACCGCGAGGUGGAGCCAAUCCCAGAAAUCCGCGCCCAGUUCAGAUUGGAGGCUGCAACUCGCCUCCAUGAAGCCGGAAUCGCUGGUAAUGGCGCAUCAGCUACGGCGCCGUGAAUGCGUUCCCGGGCCUUGUACACACCGCCCGUCACAUCAUGGAAGCUGUCUGCACCCGAAGUCGCCACGUUAACCGCAAGGAGACAGGCGCCGAAGGUAUGGAUAGUGACUGGGAUGAAGUCGAAACAAGGUAGCCGUAGGGGAACCUGCGGCUG